GCUACUCACCGAAAUAGGGCAUGGCCCACAGCUCAGGUAACUCCGUGAGUUAGAUAUGCGGCGGAUCAGACGGAGGGAGGACGAGUUGGACCGUUCCGUCAACGAUUCUGUCCCCACUGAGCCGUUGCAUUCAUUUAAGGCAACACGGUUGCCAACUACCAAUCUUCUCCGACACUACUUUUCCUCCUCUUUUUAGUUGCGGAACAAGUGAAGCGUCGGGUAGCUUGGCCGAUCGAUCCAGUGCGAGCAUACCACCAGAAUCUAGCCGGAGAGCAUGUCUUCAUCGUCCUCCACCACAGUAUUCGAGGAUCUGCCCCCGCUCAUCAGGUGCCCGGAGUGCGGUGGACGGGUCUUCACCUGGAUCGCUCGUUCGGGAGCGAAUGAUGGAGUUCGUUUCUACAAGUGCGUCAAUAAAGAUAGCUCAGCUUCCAUUUGGGGACGGCACAGCAGGCAGUCCACGGAAGCACUCAGGCGCAAUCUUACCUUCACCGCAGAGUUCGUCUAGGCGAGCAGAUCCGCGGCGUUGCAGCGCCCACUCAAGCGUGGAGGGCACAAACCAUGGUCAACCAAGGGGGGUCGUCAGCCUCCGCGCUUCAUGUGCUUGUGUUUCUAGAUGCGGCCAUUCUUUUGGUGGUGGUUCUCCUGCUGCUGGCGGUGAUGAAAGUAGUAUUCCUACUUAGCAGAUAGACGUAGGCACUGAUGAUGUACUAGUCCUAAUCACUAGAUUAGGUAGUAUCAAUGAAGAAGUGGUACGGUAGCUCCAGGGAAUUAAAUUUGUGAGGGUUAUCCAUGUAAGACUCAUGUAUUCGGUCAUCUUAUGAGUAAUCAAGUAUGUUGAAUUAUGGAUCAA